rnacentral:lncRNA from 1 species
UAAAAUAAGUGAAUCGGUCUAUUCCACCUUGUCACUUGAGUUUGACCUAUUUUAUUUUAACACUCUUAGAAACAGGUGGGUUAUGUGUUAAUUGAGUUCUUUUCUUUUUUUUGGUUAAAAGUUAUUGUUGUCAGUAGUCCAACUCAAUUAUAUUUGUAGCAUGCCAUUAAUUUUCAUUAAUGAAGUCUUUGUUCUUUAUUUCUAAUGGUCUUCUGUGAUUCAUUUCCCUUUAGGCUAUUGUUUCAAAAAUGUCAUAUUGCUUUCUCGUUUUCUUAUGAACUGUUAUGGGAACUACUUAUGUUCUUUUCUUCGUUUUGCAUGUGAAAUCUGCCCAAGUCCUCAUGGACUCCAUCUCCUAUAUUUGCAUUUCAAGAGAGCCAUAAAGGCUCAAAUUCCUUUAUCGAUUCAACCGGCCACUGAAAGUCGACGUACAGGUCCCGGAGUCGAAAAAAUGUUGGAGCAGAUUAGAGAAUUGAAAAGCUUGGGCCAAAGGCCCACUUUUAAUUCCAAAUGUAUUUUGUUAUCUAUUGGGCCUAAGCUGAUUUAGUCGCUAUUCUUAUUUUGUUAGAAGCCUAGGACAGGUGAAAAAUUGGGCCUAAGGCCCAAAGAAAAAAUAUCUUUUACAUUAGUAUAGGAC